CAGCCGUAAACAAUGUGCGUUAGGUGUGUCGGUAACCACGCGUUACUGAUGCGCCGAAGAGAAAUCGUGAAACGCACCACCUGGGAAGUACGGUCGCAAGGCUGAAACUUAAAGGAAUUGGCGGGGGAGCACCACAGCAGGUGGAGCCUGCGGUUUAAUUGGAUUCAACGCCGGACAUCUCACCGGAUAAGACAGCUGAAUGAUUGUCAAUCUGAAGGCUUUACAUGACUAGCUGAGAGGAGGUGCAUGGCGUCAGUGACU
rnacentral:rRNA from 1 species